UCCUCCGCCUUCUAUACCUCCGCUCUGGCGCGUAGGCGAGGAGUGCGUCCCAUUUCCGCCGCCGCUCUGGCGCCGUCCUCGCCGACCCACCAUCUGUCCUCGGUGGCGCUGCUCCUCGCUCACAGCCGGUAUGGCCGGUGGCGCGUGAGGCCGCCCGGAUUCGCUGCUCCCCGACCACGACUGGUUCGGCCAGGUGAACGUGCGGCCGGUCCAGCGCCGCCGCUGCUUGCUCGCGGCAGCCUACCCUGCGCCUCGGCUCCUCUCUCGCGUCGCGACCGUCCAGCGGCUGCCUUCGCUCCUCGCCCGCGGCCGUUCUAGCGGCGCCGCUGCCUGCUCGUGGCCUACCCUACACUCCGGCUCCUCGCAGGCAGCCGGCCAGGCGACGGCGACGGCCGUCGCUCUCCGCCCGCGGCCAGUACGGCCAGGCGGCGCGUGCGCCCGCCCCGGCUUCAAUCGCCGCUCCUCGCCCACCGCGGCCUGCCAUGCGCCCCGGCUCCUCGCCCACGACCGGCUAGGCGGCGGCCGUCGCUCCCUGCCCACGGCCAGACCAACGCCAUUGCUUCUCGCCUGCGGCCAACUCAGUGCUGCAGCUCCUCAGGAGCCUCUUGUCCCGGUACUGCUCGAGGGAGGACUGGUCCGGGAGGGAGGUCUGCUCGAUCGCGGCCGGAGGUCGCGCACCGCUCUGAGGUCGUCGCCAGCCACCGCGGCCUCGCGCUCCGAGUAGGCGGAGGCGAUGUAAUGGCCCCGCCCCUCCUCGCCUAGCUGCCGCGCCCGCGCCGCCGGGGUGGGACCUGGAGAAGGAGGGAGGGCUGGUAGCAGCUGCGCCUCGGGGCCCCGGUUGAGUGGGCGUCGGCGGCGCACACGGCCGCGGCGCUGGUGUGCGCCAUGGCGGCCACCGUGCUCGCGCUCGUGCACAUCUACCGCCGCCUCCUCCACCAGCCAAUCUACCAGCGAUUCAUCAUCUGCAUGAUCUUCGUGGUCCCGUUCCAGUGAAGAACGCUAAUCUCUAGAUCAAACGGAUCCGUUGCAACCUCAACACCACUCAAGUUUCAACACGAGCUCUUCUAGAGUUGCAGGCCUUGAAUGGUUGUCUCAUGAUCAAAACAUAUGGUGGCCUGAACCAACAAUGACUUCCUGUAUGUUCCAGCAUUGGACAAUAUAUGGUCAUGUUUAUAAUUUUUACUACUGGUGGGAAGUAUGUUCAUAAUUUUUUGAAGAGCUAGAGGAGUUGGCUUAGUUCAAGGUAUUGGCUGCACCAGCGCUCUUAAGUUCUUUUUUAAACUUGAACACAUAUUCAGAUGAAAUACUUAGGUAUCCAUACAUGUUAAAAGAAUCAUUAUUAUAUAUGUUGAUGCUUAAGGGCUAUACCGCUAGAUUGUUUACUGCAACUUGCAACUGUAUUUAUUUUUGCUAAACCAGCGUGUAGUUCCUACCUGCAUCCUACUAGCUCCAUUGACUCAUCAUUUUUCCACCUAAUUUUUAGGGAUCCUGAUUUCAAGGUACAUUCCUAACUCUAUCAGGGUCCAAAACUCUCUUCUAUUACAGCUUCUACUGCCAAUUGCAGUAUUUUUUUAUCAACAUUAUGCAAGUAACCUGGCACAACAUUGCACCUGUUCCGGAAAAUCUUUGGUCUCAAAUCACAAAGUGUUAUUCACAGCAAGAACAUCCAAUAACUGAAUCUCAGUAGAGCAAGAAAGCAAUUAUUUGUUGCAGGGACCUAAUUUGCAGGACAUCUACGCCUAUAUUGGGAAGGUCACUCCUCUCGGACCACCACAAAUUAGGUUAUGCUAAAUUUCAAAGUAGCUUAAACUAUGUAGUUGAUAGUUACUACUUCCUAGGCAAAAUGUAAAAUAAUAAAAUUUCCUUGUAUUAACCAUAAAUUUGGCCUGAUGUUUUUAUGUUCCCCGAUAAAUAAUAUGAAUGUAAUAAUGUUACAAGUUCCAGUAUUUAGAUUGCAACUUUAUUAA